CUGCUCCAAUGUUGCCUCCCCAGAGGCCUUCCGUGUCCACCCUGACUGGGGAGGCUCCCAUCCCACCAGCCUGCGGCUCCCACCUGCUCUGAUGGUCUCUAGCCCCUCUGCCUGCCCCGCGGUAUACACCACAUCCCAGCGGGUCUAUCACCAACCUCCCCUUCUGUCCUGUCUGUCUACACCGUGCGCUGGGGUGGACCCUGGAGCAUGAGGAGACACCGGCUGAACAAAUGAGCAAAUGAGCGAGUGAGUGACGAAUGAACGAAUGAAUCAACAAGCAGUUUCAGGUGUGGGACAUCACGGUUCGCUGUUUGUGUGCGCUGUGAAGCGAUCACCACACCACCGCGCUGGGCGUGACGCCCGGGACUCAGCGACCCAAGCAGCUGACCUCAUGGAGAGAUCACCCCGGACUCUCCAGGUGGGGCCAGUGUCAUCAGAAAGAGCCUGAAAAGCGGAAGAGGACGCAUAUCUGAUGUUACCCGUCGGUCACACCUCAGGAGGAAAAGCGGACGAGAACGGAGAGAGCCAGCGAGACGAAGACGGCCGGGUGACAAGGGAGGCCAGGGGCCCCGGGCCGCGUGCUGCGCUCUCAACAACCCCAGUGAGCAGGAGUCGGUGCCCCGGAGCCUUGGGACGGGAGCGCAGCCUGUGGCACCUCGGGCUAAGCUUUCGGGGACCCUGAGCAGAGAGGUGCCGAGCCCCCCGCACCUCCCACCCUUGGAAACUGUGCUGAUAGCUGGCUGCCAUGUUAGUACCACAUUGUGCUUGUUACACAGCAGCACGUUACAGCGGCAGAUGGAAAGCCCACAGCCAGUUCCCCAGGGCCAGUGGAGUCUGGUCUGGGUCACAGUGGGCUUCCUGAAAAAGCAGCCUUUGAGGUGAGACCCGUAGGAUGAACCUCGCCGACUUGGCAAAGGGCAGAGGCAGAGGGAACAGAAGGUGCAAGGGCCCUGAGGCAGGAGGAAAUCAGCUCAAGUGAGAAAAGGAAGGAAGCCCAGUGCGACUGGGAGGCAGACCCCGGGCACGUCGCUGCGCUCUCUGAGCCUCAGUUUCCUCCCCCGCGAGGUGGGAUUAUAGGAGCUUUCCCUCACUAUGAGGGUGAGACGGCCCUGCAAGCUGUGUAGCAAAGCAGCUGGAGACGUGGGCCCCACAGCCAGCCCAGACCGGGGCUCGAGCUCCAGGUCUUCUGCUUACUGCCUGGGUGACCGUGGGAGGCUGCAUCCCCUCUCUGAGCCUCAGUUUCCCUCUCUGCCAGGCUGCUGUCAGUCUUAGAUAAGAGCGUGUCAGUGGUGCUCAACAAAUGCUGGCUAUCAUUGUCAUCGUUUUCGUUAGGAGACGGGGACCCAAAGUCGGACAGGAACGUGCUCAGGGUCCCCCAGAGACUGGUGGGCGCACUGGGUAGAAACGAGUCUCCCGAUCCGGCCGUGGACCCCCCAGCUUCUCCGUCUGAAGGCCGCACCAACCGAGGCGGCGGGACUCAGCCAGGAAGGCUGUGUGCGUGUGAGUGUGAGCGUGCACACACGUGCAUGCAAGAGCGUGAGGGGGAGCCAGAGUGUGUGUGUAAAGGUACAUGUGUGAGUGUGCAUGGGUGUGUGAAUGUGCUUGGUGGUGUUGAUGAGACAACAUGGCCUGGGGGACAGACGGACGGUCAUCAGUGAGUCCUUGUGCCUGGUCAGGCCGGCCCCCGGGGAGGGGGGGGCAAUACUCACCAAGAGGCUCCUGGCCCUGGUGGGCUCCUUACAGCCACAGGCCGUCAUUUCAGACGGUGUCUGUCCAGGGAGCAGCUGACCCUCUGGGGCGCGUUUCACGGGGAUGGCGGGGCGGGGCAGGAAGUGACCCUUCUCCUCAGGGAGUCGCGACCCGGCUCUGUGCUCGUGGCUUCACGUACAUCUCCUUAUGUAGUCAGCACAACAGCCAUAUUAUUCACAUUACAAAUGAGGAAACUGAGGCUCUGGGAGCCCGGGAGACCCCAGUUCUGCAUCUCCGCUGUGCUCAGAGCCCUUGCAGCAUUGGCUGCGGCUGCAGCCAUCAACAGGCCGUGUGCCCCUCCCACCUCUUGGAUCUGAGCUGGUCCUGUAAUUCGCUUUGGCCAACAGACUUGCCGGCAGAGAUGUUGUGCCAAAUCUAAGCUCAUGCCCCUGACAGCCUUGCGUGCUUCUGCCCUCUCUCGGACUCCUGUCCCCAUCAGGAGAACAAGCCUGGCAGAGAAGGAGCGACAGGUCACCCAGCCGUGCCCUCACCUAGAUGAUCGUUAGCCACGCCCCAGAACAGAGCCUCCAGCUGGCCCAGCAGGCAACUGCAGAGCGUGAGGGACCCCAGCUCAGACCAG
ensembl:lncRNA